GACGUAGGGCGCGAGCGUUGUCCGGAUUUAUUGGGCGUAAAGAGCUCGUAGGCGGCUCAUUGCGUCAACCGUGAAAACCAGCAGCUCAACUGUUGGCUUGCAGUCGAUACGGGCAGGCUAGAGUUCGGCAGGGGAGACUGGAAUUCCUGGUGUAGCGGUGAAAUGCGCAGAUAUCAGGAGGAACACCGAUGGCGAAGGCAGGUCUCUGGGCCAUAACUGACGCUGAGGCGCGAAAGCGUGGGGAGCAAACAGG
rnacentral:rRNA from 1 species